rnacentral:rRNA from 1 species
GGGUUGUGAGGUUAAGCGACUAAGCGUACACGGUGGAUGCCCUGGCAGUCAGAGGCGAUGAAGGACGUGCUAAUCUGCGAAAAGCGUCGGUAAGGUGAUAUGAACCGUUACAGCCGGCGAUGUCCGAAUGGGGAAACCCAGUGUGAUUCGUCGCACUAUCGUUAACUGAAUACAUAGGUUAACGAGGCGAACCGGGGGAACUGAAACAUCUAAGUACCCCGAGGAAAAGAAAUCAACCGAGAUUCCCCCAGUAGCGGCGAGCGAACGGGGAGCAGCCCAGAGUCUGAAUCAGCUUGUGUGUUAGUGGAACGGUCUGGAAAGUCCGACGGUACAGGGUGAUAGUCCCGUACACCAAAAUGCACAGGCUGUGAACUCGAAGAGUAGGGCGGGACACGUGGUAUCCUGUCUGAAUAUGGGGGGACCAUCCUCCAAGGCUAAAUACUCCUGACUGACCGAUAGUGAACCAGUACCGUGAGGGAAAGGCGAAAAGAACCCCGGCGAGGGGAGUGAAAAAGAACCUGAAACCGUGUACGUACAAGCAGUGGGAGCACCUUCGGGUGUGACUGCGUACCUUUUGUAUAAUGGGUCAGCGACUUAUAUUCUGUAGCAAGGUUAACCGUAUAGGGGAGCCGCAGGGAAACCGAGUCUUAACUGGGCGUUAAGUUGCAGGGUAUAGACCCGAAACCCGGUGAUCUAGCCAUGGGCAGGUUGAAGGUUGGGUAACACUAACUGGAGGACCGAACCGACUAAUGUUGAAAAAUUAGCGGAUGACUUGUGGCUGGGGGUGAAAGGCCAAUCAAACCGGGAGAUAGCUGGUUCUCCCCGAAAGCUAUUUAGGUAGCGCCUCGUGAACUCAUCUUCGGGGGUAGAGCACUGUUUCGGCUAGGGGGUCAUCCCGACUUACCAACCCGAUGCAAACUACGAAUACCGAAGAAUGUUAUCACGGGAGACACACGGCGGGUGCUAACGUCCGUCGUGAAGAGGGAAACAACCCAGACCGCCAGCUAAGGUCCCAAAGUCACAGUUAAGUGGGAAACGAUGUGGGAAGGCACAGACAGCCAGGAUGUUGGCUUAGAAGCAGCCAUCAUUUAAAGAAAGCGUAAUAGCUCACUGGUCGAGUCGGCCUGCGCGGAAGAUGUAACGGGGCUAAACUGUGCACCGAAGCUGCGGCAGCGACACUAUGUGUUGUUGGGUAGGGGAGCGUUCUGUAAGCCUGCGAAGGUGGCCUGUGAGGGUUGCUGGAGGUAUCAGAAGUGCGAAUGCUGACAUAAGUAACGAUAAUGCGGGUGAAAAGCCCGCACGCCGGAAGACCAAGGGUUCCUGUCCAACGUUAAUCGGGGCAGGGUGAGUCGACCCCUAAGGCGAGGCCGAAAGGCGUAGUCGAUGGGAAACAGGUUAAUAUUCCUGUACUUGGUGUUACUGCGAAGGGGGGACGGAGAAGGCUAUGUUAGCCGGGCGACGGUUGUCCCGGUUUAAGCAUGUAGGCGGAGGUUCCAGGUAAAUCCGGUACCUUUUUAACGCUGAGGUGUGAUGACGAGGCACUACGGUGCUGAAGUAACAAAUGCCCUGCUUCCAGGAAAAGCCUCUAAGCAUCAGGUAACAUUAAAUCGUACCCCAAACCGACACAGGUGGUCAGGUAGAGAAUACCAAGGCGCUUGAGAGAACUCGGGUGAAGGAACUAGGCAAAAUGGUGCCGUAACUUCGGGAGAAGGCACGCUGAUAUGUAGGUGAAGCCCCUGCGGGUGGAGCUGAAAUCAGUCGAAGAUACCAGCUGGCUGCAACUGUUUAUUAAAAACACAGCACUGUGCAAACACGAAAGUGGACGUAUACGGUGUGACGCCUGCCCGGUGCCGGAAGGUUAAUUGAUGGGGUUAUCCGUAAGGAGAAGCUCUUGAUCGAAGCCCCGGUAAACGGCGGCCGUAACUAUAACGGUCCUAAGGUAGCGAAAUUCCUUGUCGGGUAAGUUCCGACCUGCACGAAUGGCGUAAUGAUGGCCAGGCUGUCUCCACCCGAGACUCAGUGAAAUUGAACUCGCUGUGAAGAUGCAGUGUACCCGCGGCAAGACGGAAAGACCCCGUGAACCUUUACUAUAGCUUGACACUGAACAUUGAGCCUUGAUGUGUAGGAUAGGUGGGAGGCUUUGAAGCGUGGACGCCAGUCUGCGUGGAGCCAACCUUGAAAUACCACCCUUUAAUGUUUGAUGUUCUAACGUUGGCCCCUGAUCGGGGUUGCGGACAGUGUCUGGUGGGUAGUUUGACUGGGGCGGUCUCCUCCCAAAGAGUAACGGAGGAGCACGAAGGUUAGCUAAUCCUGGUCGGACAUCAGGAGGUUAGUGCAAUGGCAUAAGCUAGCUUGACUGCGAGCGUGACGGCGCGAGCAGGUGCGAAAGCAGGUCAUAGUGAUCCGGUGGUUCUGAAUGGAAGGGCCAUCGCUCAACGGAUAAAAGGUACUCCGGGGAUAACAGGCUGAUACCGCCCAAGAGUUCAUAUCGACGGCGGUGUUUGGCACCUCGAUGUCGGCUCAUCACAUCCUGGGGCUGAAGUAGGUCCCAAGGGUAUGGCUGUUCGCCAUUUAAAGUGGUACGCGAGCUGGGUUUAGAACGUCGUGAGACAGUUCGGUCCCUAUCUGCCGUGGGCGCUGGAGAAUUGAGGGGGGCUGCUCCUAGUACGAGAGGACCGGAGUGGACGCAUCACUGGUGUUCGGGUUGUCAUGCCAAUGGCAUUGCCCGGUAGCUAAAUGCGGAAGAGAUAAGUGCUGAAAGCAUCUAAGCACGAAACUUGCCCCGAGAUGAGUUCUCCCUGAGACUUUAAGUCUCCUGAAGGAACGUUAAAGACGAUGACGUUGAUAGGUCGGGUGUGUAAGCGUAGCGAUACGUUGAGCUAACCGAUACUAAUGAACCGUGAGGCUUAACCUUACAACGCCGAAGGUGUUU